rfam:Flavobacterium sp. FPG59 Contig_151, whole genome shotgun sequence.
UCUUAGCCCAGAUAGAAGCGGCAUCCUUUUUAUGAUUUUUUUUAAUCAUAAAAAGAUAUAGCGGAUAGCUGGAUUAAGC